AGAGUUUGAUCCUGGCUCAGGAUGAACGCUGGCGGCGUGCCUAAUACAUGCAAGUCGAACGAGGUGCUUUUGUAGCAAUACGAGAGUAUCCUAGUGGCGAACGGGUGAGUAACGCGUUGGUGACCUACCCCAAAGUGUGGAAUAACAGUCCGAAAGGAUUGCUAAUACCGCAUGUGGUUAUUGGAUCUAGAAACCGAUAACUAAAGGAGCAAUUCGCUUUGGGAGGGACCUGCGUCCCAUCAGCUAGUUGGUGAGGUAAUGGCUCACCAAGGCUACGACGGGUAGGGGACCUGAGAGGGUGACCCCCCACAAUGGAACUGAAACACGGUCCAUACACCUACGGGUGGCAGCAGUAGGGAAUAUUGCACAAUGGGCGAAAGCCUGAUGCAGCAACGCCGCGUGUGCGAUGAAGGCCUUCGGGUCGUAAAGCACUUUUCUGGGAGAUGAGAAAGGACAGUAUCCCAGGAAUAAGUCUCGGCUAACUACGUGCCAGCAGCCGCGGUAAAACGUAGGAGGCGAGCGUUAUCCGGAUUCACUGGGCGUAAAGCGCGUGCAGGUGGCUUGGUAAGUUAGGCGUGAAAUCUCCCGGCUCAACUGGGAGAGGUCGUCUAAUACUACCGGGCUAGAGAGCAGAAGAGGAAGAUGGAAUUCCCGGUGUAGUGGUGAAAUGCGUAGAUAUCGGGAGGAACACCAGUGGCGAAGGCGAUCUUCUGGUCUGUUUCUGACACUCAGACGCGACAGCUAGGGUAGUAAACGGGAUUAGAGACCCCGGUAAUCCUAGCCGUAAACGAUGUGAACUUGGCGUUGGUGGGUUAAACUCCAUCAGUGCCGUAGCAAACGCGAUAAGUUCACCGCCUGGGGACUACGGCCGCAAGGUUAAAACUCAAAGGAAUUGACGG
rnacentral:rRNA from 1 species